AUACUUACCUGGCAGGGGAGAUACCAUGAUCACAAAGGUGAUUUCCCCAGGGUGAAGCUCAUCCAUUGCACUCUGGGUGUGCUGAUCCCGCAAUUUCCUCAAAUGCAGGAAAUUCGACCACGUAAUUUGUGGUAGUGGGGGACUGCAUACGUGCUUUCCCCUG
rfam:Tupaia chinensis contig111302, whole genome shotgun sequence.